rnacentral:rRNA from 1 species
UACGUAGGGUGCAAGCGUUGUUCGGAAUCAUUGGGCGUAAAGCGCGUGUAGGUGGUUAUGUAAGUCGGGUGUGAAAUCCCUGGGCUCAACCGAGGAAGUGCAUCCGAAACUACAUAGCUAGAGGACGGUAGAGGAAGGUGGAAUUCCUAGUGUAGAGGUGAAAUUCGUAGAUAUUAGGAGGAAUACCGGUGGCGAAGGCGGCCUUCUGGGCCGGACCUGACACUGAGACGCGAAAGCGUGGGUAG